GUGUGAUUUGUAGGGUCUACAGUCUUGCAUAAACUUCAUGAGCAUUUUCCUUUUCUGUGGCACAGGUCAUUGUUGCAACGACUGUAAAUGCCUGUUUACAGCAC
rnacentral:lncRNA from 1 species